CCGUCUGGCGUGGCUGACGACAGUCUACUGCCUUCCGAGAAACACGAGGCGAUUCCGUGUAUCGAACGCGCACUCCCCGAGGGAUCGACGGACAGAGUGGGGAGAUGGAUACGUCCGUCCGGGACGCGCGGGGUCCGUUUCGAGACGAGCCUAAGGCCUGGGUCACACCGGCGUCGUCCCCAUUAUCAUCGAACCUUCGAUUUUAUCCCUUCUCAAUACUCAAAUUGCACAAGAAAGUCAUCUGCGCCAGGAACAGUUUGCAUAAUUUACUCAUCUUGCAUCUCACAGUCUGAGGAUGAAAAUAACAACAUCGAGGGGGGACUCAUCGAGUUAAUCGUCGACACUUCAUAAUCAUAAUAUCGCUCGGAUAAUGGAUGAAUAACUCUUAAUCAGUAGAAUCUACUACUGUGCAAGUUAACGGCUUUGAACUGUUAUCUGGCAGAGAUACGUUCAUAGAACCUUCUUCUCACGCGUCUACCAGUCCCGGAAGGACGGCCUUCAGGGAAUUGACCUCCGCGAAGCGACCGCUUCUCGGGUGAGCCGAUCCGAACCGAAGGAAAUAUGUACACGCUAUUACAAUAAAGAAAGUGACAGAGCGUACGAAACUGAUCGAAACCGGCAAUCGUCCAGCAGAAUAAAGAGUACAGUUAUUUGAAAUCGUUGCAAGCCGCCGUGACGCCUUGGAAACAAAACGCCAGACACACACAUGUAUAACGUAUUUUGAAAUACAUCUACCGAUCUGUAGAUAUUGCGUUGGUUUUUAAGGCCUUGAGAGAUUAAACGAAAUUGCUAAAAGAUCAUUUGUACGUAUCCGAGUUUACAAGCAGAUACCUGAAGGAAUUCCCUGAAGGAGGGACGAGUCCUGAAAGAGGGGCACCGGCAGGUGUACUCGAGAAUCCGUUCCACCUGCGGUUUCCACGGUCCGAGAUCCCUCUCUUAUUCUAGCACGCCUCCGGUCCGUUUCGUUUAGAACCCAGGCGAUACAAGGAGCUAAAUCAGUGCCAAUGGUAAUCGACUGCGUUUCGUGACUGACUCACGUCAUUCGAUCGGGUAGGAGCAUAACAGAAAGCUUCGGGAUCAAAAGUGACUCAUAAUAAAAUCCACAGUUCUCCGAUCGGGCGAGAUGCAGAGUAUUGGAUAAUACAGUAGCUACUUCGGGCGGAAUUAUUCCAGGGCAACGGGGUAAAAUAUUCAAACAGCAUCCUACGAUUCCUAUUUUUGUUCGACGGCGUUCCACUUCUUUCGCUAACAGGAUAAUUAGACGCGGAAGUGACAGGACCGACGAAUGAAAAUCGGGACUAUGACAGAUCCUUGGAAACAAAAAUUGUUAUUCGAGAUUCGAUCUUCCUCUUCGGUUAAUCUAACCGAUAAAAUAAGCCGUUGAACCAGAACGUCUUAUAAUUAUACGAAUCUGACAUUAACAAGCAUUUAUCAAGUGUGCAUAAAAUUAGGAAACCCUCGUUUUAAGGUUCAUCUAUAUUUAAACAAAUUUCUUUAAAAGAGUCUGUUCAAAAAUAUAAAUAAAUCCUCUCUGAGACACUCGCAUUAAAUGUUCCAGAUAAGUAUAGAAAGAUCUAAAAUACUAGAUAUUAAUGAAUGUAAUUCGGUACGAUUUUUCAUACUGAAUUAUACUAGUGAAUUCAUGCGGAUCGAAUAGUGAACGCCAAAUUUGAAUGGUGUCACUGCGUGUCAAAGUUUAAAAAUAAAUCCCUCUGGAUAUUAAUAUUCGAAAUUGGCUAUCGUUGAACUCGUAUCUGACAGAUUAAACGAUUUAAUCCCGUGGCUAUCGAUACGGAAUACGGAUAUACGCGUACAUGCACAGAGGCGGCCGAGGGAUUCCGAGAAAAACAGAGAGAGCCGGUUCGAGCAAAAAAACAGUGGCCGGAGCGCCGUUUCCUCGGCCGAUUUGCGUCAUUAUAUGUAUGUAGCUCGGUCGCUGUACAUAGAAUGACGACUACCGGGGCAAGAGUUGCGUAUAAAUGCAGAUACCGAGGCACUUGAGUAAUUACAAUUACAGGGAAAGAGACCCGAUAACGCCUCUGAGAUAACCGCGCAGAUAACUCCGGAAUUGCCAAAUAAAGUACGCUUAUCGAUACCGAUCGUUGCUCACUACACUGAAAUUCAGCAAGAAAAAUGAAUUAACAGUCUGCAGUGAAACCUAGUUGAUUCAAUUUGUUUGAUCGGGAUUCACUGAAUAAACAAAAGGUAGUCAAAAUUUUUUAUUUGUGAAAUGGAUAAGUGAAUAAGAAAAGAGAUUAUUAUUAAAUCAUUUGAAACGUGAAAUUGAAGCUUGGAAUAUUUUCCAGCAUCAAACCAUUCAUGUCGAUCAUGAAAGAAAAACCGAGAUUGAAAAGGGAAUUAAAUCGCCGUUCAAAUUUUAACUUCGGGUGCUUGAAAGUUGAAAGAGAGAGGGUCAAGUAAAUUCCCGAUUUCAGCUUGAACCCACGAAAUCCUUGAGAGACCUUACACCGAUACGAUCGAUAACAUCAAGAUCCUCCUUUUUCCCUUGCAAUUUACACUCUUUUUGUCUCGAGAACUCCGGGACGAUAGGACCAAAUCCGAGAACAAAGAAACCUGCGAAUACUUCUGUUGGCAAGGACUUCAAACACUCAGCACCUUAGCAAAUUGAUAAACUUCUAAAUUGAACGAUUUUUAUUUAUCUAUUCUAUUGUACGUGCCGCAACGUAGAUUACAAAUAAAAAAUAAAGCGAUUACUUAUCUAGA